UCUGCCUCCAAGCAGCGGUUCCGAAGGCUCCCGUCGCAGCGCCUGAUGCAAUCUGCAGUUUGCUCCUGUCCUCGGGAUGAUUCAUGGUCCAGAUCCUCCGGGGCUGUGCUGCCUGAUUUCUGUCCAGGUGCCAAAUAGCUGUGCCUCCGUUAACCGCUUCCUGCCCUCCUGCCGACACCACACGGAGCACGUUUGUGGCUGGGGGGGCCGCGAGGCCUCGGCGGCACAGCACCUCGUGCUCCGCGGCCAAGUGCAGGAUGAGGAUGUCUUCCUCCUACCGAUUCUCCCACUUUGACAUUUGUUAGGGCUUUUACAAUGUAAUUGCAAUAAAAAAGGGCACGGGGGCUGCGGGAGGGGGCCGGCGUGGGCACGGGGGGGGGGGGGGGGGGUGGGGCAGGGUCUGGACACGUCCUCGGAGCCGGGGGCAGCGAGGUUCCAGCGUGGUGCGAACCGCGUCGUGCGUGUCUCGAAGGCCUCGGCAGCGUGACAUUAAAAAGGAGGCAUUUAACAUGGAAAUCCCCCAGAGGCGGAGAUUAAAGAGAACAGGUGCUGGAAAAAUGUUUCUGCAUAUUAGAACUUAAUUAGAUUUGAAAAUGAAUUCCAGAUGGGCUAAUUACGUGUGAGUUGUUGCAGGUUCUUUCUUGCAGGGGCAGGAUUGUGUUGGGGAAGCUGAUUUGGUUUGAUUGGAUUUGACUCCUGACUCUUGCGGUAUCGCUGCGAUCUAGAAGCAGGUUAGCUUUCAGGCCCUAUGAUCUCUCUGAAAAGGCUCCACGUCUCCUGCUGCUCCUGUCAGAGCCAGAGAGAUCUGAGGCCACAAGCCACCAGGCUUGUUGCUGAAAUAACCACGGGGCCAACAACCUGUCAUGUUCAAGGAGAAGAGAUCCUUAUCGGGAUUGCUUUUAAAAGGAGCUUCAAAGACUGGAAGGUCUGCGUGUGAGGGAAUGCCUGGAUUUGCAGUUCCCGAGCAGGAGCGAGUGGUCAGAGCAGGGACUCGUGGCCAGACCUGCAGAAAGUCGGGCUUGCCUGGGCUGAGAACGCAGAUGUGGAGCUCUCCCUCCCUCUUAAGAGACUUCUGCACCUUCAGCGGCCUUCACGCUGCUCAGAUAAUGCUGGGCAUCUCUCUGGUGGUGAUGGCAGAGGCAA